GAGUUUGAUCCUGGCUCAGAACGAACGCUGGCGGCGCGUCUUAAGCAUGCAAGUCGAACGGCAAGAUACCUUCGGGUAUCCUAGAGUGGCGGACUGGUGAGUAACGCGUGGAUGACGUACCCUCGUGACGGGGAUAGCCGGUAGAAAUACCGGAUAAUACCGGAUAAGGUCUCACGGAAUAAAGGCGUGAGAGGAAAGCAGCGUAUGCUGCGCAGGAGGAACGGUCUGCGACCUAUCAGCUAGUUGGCAGGGUAAAGGCCUACCAAGGCGACGACGGGUAUCCGGCCUGAGAGGGUGGACGGACACAUUGGGACUGAGAUACGGCCCAGACUCCUACGGGAGGCAGCAGCUAAGAAUAUUCCGCAAUGGGGGGAACCCUGACGGAGCGACGCCGCGUGGACGACGAAGGUCGGAAGAUUGUAAAGUCCUUUUAUACAUGAAGAAGAAGUUAUACAGGAAAUGGUAUGAUGGUGACUGUAGUGUAUGAAUAAGCACCG
rnacentral:rRNA from 1 species